rnacentral:rRNA from 1 species
GGAUCAAUUUGCUGGUCGUGCCUUUGGUACGUACUGGUAUUAUAGGUUUCUCCUUUCUGAAGAACUACGAUGUCAUUAAUUUGGUGUCGUGGGAAAUCAGGACUGUUACUUUGAAAAAAUUAGAGUGUUUAAAGCAGACUAUCGUCUGAAUACAUUAGCAUGGAAUAAUGAAAUAGGACGGACUGAUUCUAUUUCGUUGGUUUCUAGGAUCACCGUA